UACAGAGGGUGCAAGCGUUGUUCGGAAUUACUGGGCGUAAAGCGCACGUAGGCGGAUCGAUCAGUCAGGGGUGAAAUCCCAGAGCUCAACUCUGGAACUGCCUUUUGAUACUGUCGAUCUGGAGUAUGGAAGAGGUGAGUGGAAUUCCGAGUGUAGAGGUGAAAUUCGUAGAUAUUCGGAGGAACACCAGUGGCGAAGGCGGCUCACUGGUCCAUUACUGACGCUGAGGUGCGAAAGCGUGGGGAGCAAACAGG
rnacentral:rRNA from 1 species